rnacentral:tRNA from 1 species
ACUCAGAUGGUCCAGUGGUUAGCACGUUAGAUUACAACGCCAUGGACCGGGGUUUAAUCCUCGUCUGAGUA